UUACGGCCACACCGCAUUGAAACACCGGUUCCCUUAUGAUGACCGAAGUUAAGCAACGUCGAGCUUAGAGAUGGGUGACCGCUUGGGAAUACCAGAUGCUA